GGCUAUGACUGCCUUGUCCCUCCUUGUUUACACUUUUCAAGCGGCAAGACAAAGAUUGGUUGAAGAGUAAGUGGUGUCUACAGCUGCCUUGAAGAAGAGCAGGAGUGUGUCUUGGGGCUGCAUGCUACUCAAUUCCUAACAAUUUCUUAUGUUCUGGCCCUAUUUCUACUGGCCAGCCCUGGGGGGUGGGGGUGCAGUGGGGAGGGUAGGUUGAGGAAUAGGAGCAAGGGGUUACACAGCUGGUCUGUGCAGGGAGGUCUGGGGGGUAGCCCACUACAGUCUCCAGGUCCCCUUGGGCAUGUGACUGAGCACUUCCUUGGUUGAUGGACUGGCUGAGGCCUAGGAGCCAGUCUCGGGUCCUUUCUUCCCUCAUGGCCCUAGGACAGGCCUGAUGAGGCUGGUGGGGUAGGGGCGAAGCUGUGGGUCUUCGGCCACUAUUGGAACCCUGUGGACUAGAUAAAGAAUGUAGCAAAGGAGACAGUGACAUUUGGCCAGCCAGCCCGUCCCCCAUCUGGAGACCCCCCAUCUGGAGAGUAUGUGAUGAGCUCACGUCCCCUGGGGUUUCUUCCACGGUGGGAAGAACUCUUUGAUCCUUGCCUGAGGCUGUUUUUAGUCCCAGAGUCCAAGCUUGUGAUGUGCCCAACGCUGGGUUUCCUGGGGCUGCCCCAAUGUCUCUGCUGCAUGGAUGCCGUGAUUGGGCUUGGGAGUAACCACAUUUAUGUCAUCCGCCACCCCGGGGGGAUGUGGGCAUCUGGAGGAAGCUGCAAACCUCCGUCCCACCUCUGCCGGGAGCAGGAAGCACAGGCAGUGAGGCACCUACAAACCCGCUUCCUGGAGUCAUACUUCAUUUCCCAAAUUAAGAAAUCACGCAAGGAAAAGAAUAAGCAUCCAUGUUUUAAAACAAACAGGAAGUUGUUAUGGCCACUUUGGGCAGAGGGACGUCUAUGUCAUGGGAGUCCUGCAUGGGCAGCUUUGUCUGGGUUUUGCCAUUGAACAAGCAUUGGCCGAAUGCCUGUCAAGUACGAGGCCUGAGAAAAGUCCUGAGACUGGGGCAUAUAGAGGUCAAUAAGUGGUGGUUCUUGCUGUCACCAUGUUCAUAGUCUAAUGUGCGUGUGACAACAGUGCAGGGAAAGCAGGAAACAGGGCUCCUGGGGGCUCAGAGUCAGGGUGAGCAGCCUGCACCCUGGGGACUGGGGAAGGUACACUGGGCUUUUCUGGCUGCCACGACCUGCUCCUCUGCUUUCGUCCCAGGGCCCUGUUAUUCCCUGAGGAUCCACCUGUCCUGCACAAAGCCCUUAUGCUGCGGACGCAGCGAACUCUGCUCCAGCUUCUGGUAGAAAUGGAUCCCGCUGGGUUCACACCAGCCAGCAUAUUCCAUUCUUGGCCUCGGCCACUGGCUCCUGGGUGGACAUGUGGUUCAAUCAGAGUGAAUCUCGGGACAUCUGCUUUGCCUGCUGAGAGGUUCUCUCUCUCUUGUCUCUUGUCUCUGUCUCUGAUGUGAGAGAUGAGCAUGUAGUCAAGGGAGAUUCUAAAAGUCACCUUGAGAUCACACAGGAAGUCAGCCUUAUGAUAAAGAUAAAGCCAUGAGAAGCAGAGGUGAAACAAUGAAACUAGGUCCUUGGUGACAUUUUUGAGCCCCUGGGUCAAGCUGAUUAGCAGCGGCGGGCUGCUCGGAGCGGCUGCUGCCAUUGCACUGGCUGCAGCAGUGGGGUGCAGGCGGUGGCCACAAGAGCAGAUGUGGGAGUGGCAGUGGUGGCAGUGGGAUCCCUGUGCCCUGCAUCCCCUGUGCCCCCCAUACCCGAGGCAGCUGACUGCACCUUUCUCACAGUUGUGUGGCUGAGUGGGACCCACUGCCAGGCCUGGAGCCUCCGCCGCUCUGGACUCUGCCUCUACAUUGCCACUGUCGCCCACUUCUGCUGCAGGGAGGAGGCAGACAGUCCCUGGAGCCUGCCCCUGGGAGCCUCCCAGAGUCCGCUGCCCUGGGGGCCACUGCAAUGGGGCCGGGCAGAGUCACCUGAUGGUGGGGGAGCAGCACAGUUAGAGGCAGAGGGGCCAGCAGAGAGGGGCCCUGAGGCAGACCUGGGCCCAGGGUAGAGCUGGCAGGAGCCGGGCGUGGCUGCAGCUGCCCAAGUUGUUGCUGUGGACCUGGCCUCCCCAUGCUUUUGGGGGCCAGGAGCAGGCAAGAGUCCUGCCCUCCUGGGCACAGCUGCAGUCGCCCAGCUGUGACUGUGGACCCAGGCAUCUCUGCAGUCUCUGGUGCCUAGGAAGGCCCCCCCUUAUCCCUGCAGGCUUGAAGGUGUCUGCUUCCACUGCCUGGCCUCUCCCCACUACCAGCACCCACUCCGAUCUCAGAGUAAGGAUGGGACCAAGCCCGGCGCUGUCACAGCCCAGCUGGGUGUGCACACACUCAGGGUAGUGCUGACGUGCCAGCCCCCUGCCUCCUCAGCCCUCUCUGGACUUUGGGCACUGACAAGCACAAGAAAGAGGGUGGGUCCCCGAUGAAGACACACCUUCAAGCUGGGGAGGUCCUGAAGCCGGGGGGCUGGGCCACCAGUCCUGUGAACCAGAGGGGCAAACUUGUGGUGCUUUUCCUUGGGCCUGCCCAUGGCUGCGCAUGGAUCUAUCAGCACACAUUUCCUCCCUUCUCAAGCCCAUAAAAACCCCAGACUCAGCGAGACUCAACUAGAAGAUGGAGAGAGGAUGGGACAAUCAGCUGCAGAGAGGAGCUAUCCUCUCUGCUGAGAGCUGAAGAGACGUUGGGACAACCAGCAUUACAGCUGUAGAGAGAAGCUACCCUCUCUGCUGAGAGCUGAACACUUGUAUGGACACCCUGGCUACAGAGGGGAGUUGCUCACUGUGGGUCUCCUCUGAGCUGUUCCAUUGCUCAGUAAAGCUCCUCUUCAUCUUGCUCACCCUCCACGUGUCUGUGUACCUCAUUCUUCCUGGACACAGGGCAAGAACUGAGGACUUCCCAAAUGGCAAGGCUAAAAGACCUGUAACACAAACAGGGCUGAAACAUGCCCCUUGCUCUCCAAGUUGUGGGUGAAGAGAAGAAGAGAACAGCUGCAGCCCUUUGGGGACCCCAAACCUGGGAGCUCCCUGAGCCAGGGCUGUGACUCCCUCUUUGGGGCCCUGCGGUUCCUGGCAUCUCCAAGCUUCUAGGCACCACCACAUUCUGCAGUGUCAGCUGGGGAAGCGGCUUGUGGUACACCUGGUCCAGCCACAGCCUCCCAGAGAGCCGGCACCUGUGCCUGCUGGCACCUGGAGCUGCCCACCCCACAGCGGCAGCUCGUGUGUCUGACUGUGCACAGUGGCUGGACCCCACACUUGCUUACAUACCCCUCACUACUCCACACCUGACUCGCAGUCUCCCUGGGAGGUGUGGGAUCCAGGCUGGUAGUGUAAACUGAGUGCAGACUGCCAGGCUGAGUGGGCAGAACAAGCCCAGUGGGCCUGAGCAAAACUGGGGCAAAGGCACCACCAGCCACAGAAGUUUUCAGCCAGAAAAGCAACACCCCAAGGAUCCUGUAACAAAACCAGUCCUGACAUUCACUUUACCUCUGAAUUUCCCUGCUUAUGUGAACAAUACAUUCCUUUUUUUAUUUAAACCACUCUGAGAUAGCUUUU
rnacentral:lncRNA from 10 species